rnacentral:rRNA from 1 species
AACGAACGCUGGCGGCAGGCUUAACACAUGCAAGUCGAACGCCCCGCAAGGGGAGUGGCAGACGGGUGAGUAACGCGUGGGAAUCUACCUAGUUCUACGGAACAACAGUUGGAAACGACUGCUAAUACCGUAUACGCCCUACGGGGGAAAGAUUUAUCGGAAUUAGAUGAGCCCGCGUAAGGUUAGCUAGUUGGUGGGGUAAUGGCCUACCAAGGCGACGAUCUUUAGCUGGUCUGAGAGGAUGAUCAGCCGCACUGGGACUGAGACACGGCCCAGACUCCUACGGGAGGCAGCAGUGGGGAAUAUUGGACAAUGGGCGCAAGCUUGAUCCAGCCAUGCCGCGUGAGUGAUGAAGGCCUUAGGGUUGUAAAGCUCUUUCACCGAUGAAGAUAAUGACGGUAGUCGGAGAAGAAGCCCCGGCUAACUUCGUGCCAGCCGCCGCAGUAAUAC